AGUCUGGAUCUAUUAUUCACUUCUGGAGAUUUCACCCUAAAGAGUACAGAGAAAGUGGUGGGGAUUAGCCUGACCACCACAUUUUUACUCUGAAUGAUAUCCGAUGGGAGUCAAGACAUGGAAUGUGGACAGAAAGUGCUGAAGCAUUUUUAAACAUUUUUCUUCAUCUUAAACACGAACAAAGGACUGGAGAACAGAGAUUGUGAUGGCCUCCACUGCCAUAAGAGGUUGCACAUUCGACUGACCUCUGCCUUCAGGGACUACACUGAGGAAAGACCUGGAAGAGAUAUAAGUAGCUGCUACUCAUGCUACCCUCUAUUUGUCCUAUGAAACUACAACAGAGUUCUGUCUCUCUCUGGGUGACCUGUCUGCAAAUGAAGAUGGAUGGAGUUUUUCCAUUUUAAUUACUCCUACAAACCUGAAAAAGUCAGCUCACAAUAUGUGAAUUACAUCAUCUGUAUAUAACAGGACAAAAUUCUGCAUACUGUGGCAACAUUCAGUCUUGACACCAAAGGUGCAUGGCAUCAUGUGCAUCAUUGAGAAUCCACCUCAGUAAGGCAUUCACUGCUACCACUGGAGAUUUAUUUUGCCAUCAAGAGCUUUACAUCUGCUGACACAAUAUUGGGAACAAGUAAAACAACUAAACUUUUGUCAGUUUUUCCUGGGCACAAUGGCAAUGGAUUGGACCUAACUCCAAAGGUGACUGAAAAUUCCCACACCUUCUAAAAUGCUGUUGAAAAAAGAAGACUGUGAACUACUACAUUCUGUACGUGGAGCGCCUUUUCUGCUUAUCAACCAAAGCAGUUUGAUUUGCUUAUAGUGUUUUACACUUGUAAAACGAUUUAUGUAUUGCAGGCUUUUUGGAUGCAAAAGUGACAUGUGAGAGCAACAUACAUAAAACAGAUCCUGAACAGACUAACAUAAAACACUAACAUACAUUCUGCAAAUAUCUUUAAAAAUAAUUUUUGUGAGAAGAUCAAGCUUGUAAUCUUGCUGUAGAUACAAGUUUGUAAGCCAACAUCUCCAUUUUUAAUACUACAUUCCAUCAUGUAACAAAAAAAAGUGAUUUUAAAUUGAUUUGAGAAGUUCAGCAGCGAAGUUUGACCUCAAAAAUAUGAUUAUAACAACACAUUCUUAUAGAAUGGACUUGCCCACUACAUAUAUUCAUUCAUAUUUGUAGCACUGGAGCCCUGAAGAGAACUAGGGUUUUGUGUACUAAGAAUAAUGUAAACACAGAAGAAAAAGACAACCCUUUUGCCAAAAGGAUUUACAGAUUCUUUUGGAAGAAAGAGAUUUGGGUACAAAGUCUAACAGAAAAGUUUACAAAAACCGAUUUUUGAGAACAUCCAGUUCUCGUAAACUGUACCCUAAACAGUAAAGUAAUGCAUUUUUAAUUUGAAAUAGGGUUUUACAGAGUAAAUACUGUAAAAUUUACAAUAAAAAUAUUAGCAUUCUGAAGUCUUUUCUUAGCUUUUUUUCCACUGACUUUUUUUUUUUCCCCAGGGUAAAUAGAUUUUUUGAUAGAACAUAUCCAAAUUAUUGCCUACCAUGCUUCAGAAAUUUAAGUGGCAUAAGAAAAUAAGUAAGAAUUGUCAAAUGUAGUUCAAGCAUAUCAAUUCCAAGGAAAUCUGUAAGUUUUAGAGCCUCCUGAGGAAUCCUUUUCUCAUCUCAAAAAUUUCCAUAGAAAAUAGUUAUAUGUAAAUGGGAAACCCAACGAAAUCAGCUUAGAUGUGAGCUAGAAAAAGUAAUGUGAUUUCAGACAAUUUUCACAUAAAAAAAUGCAAGAUGAAUUCCAAAUACAUUGGAAAGAUAGUCUUAGAAGUCCUGAAACUUAUUGGACUAAUAUGGUUAGACAUUUUCUUCAAGGCUUCUGAAUUCAUUCAGUUCAGAGAAAUUCAGUACAGUUAGCAUUCAACUUUAAUUGCAACGAGGUGACAACAUACUGGGUAAUGAGUUGUUUAUGAGUUGUAGAUGUGUUUACAAUGAGUUGACAACGUGUUGGAUAAAGUGUUCUUCUAAAGUUGUAGAUCUAUUUACAGUGAGCAGUGGGGGAAUGUUCAUUAGUUGUCGAUUUGUUUGUUUACAUUGUUUUCGAUCUGCAAUUGCUAUAAAAAAAUCACAAGCUG
ensembl:lncRNA